rnacentral:lncRNA from 1 species
CGCCGCGCGGCGCCCGGCCCGGGGCACCGGCGGUCCCGUCCUGCCUGACACGGCUUAGUCCCUCUAAUCGGCUCCGAGGCUGAUUGCGGCGAAGCAUCCAAACCAAGGGAAAGUUAGUUUGUUGUAAUUACGAGAGAAAUAACCCAUCUGGGCUUCCGUUUUUCACUCUCCCUUGCCCCAGCGUGCCGCUGGUGAGGGUGACAGUGUGGCAGGAGGAGGCGCAGCAGCGCUGGGAACUUGCUGCUUUCACCUUCCUGUGCUUUCAUUUUAUUUCAUUUUGUUUUUAAAAGCAUGAAGCAAGUGAAGCGACAAGAGGAAUCCAUUAUGCAAAUCAGGUCACAUUUGCAUAAUGUCUCAUGACUGGAAUAUGCAAAUGAGUUGUAUAAUUUAUGAGUGCCAGUGUCUGUCUAAAAGUGUUUCCCAGAAUUUAUAAAAACUGCAGCAUGGAGAGGCAGCUGCUGGCUGCCCUGCCAGGAGGGUCCACACUCGCUUUGCAAAGUCCGCUUGAGUCUGGGAGUGCAAACGUCUGGGAAUGAGAACGGAGCCCCCCUUCCCACCCUGUCCUCUUGCUUUAUUUAUUUCUCAUUACUCCCUCCACCAAGCUCCCCACCUGCUCCCCUUGAACUUCUCUGAGGAUGCAGGGCUUGGGCCAGGGCACCGGGCUGGAUGGCUGGGCGGCUGGGCAGUCCCACAGGUGGCUCAGUCUGGGCUUGCUCGUGUCCCUUGGGGCUGUCACCAGACGCAGAGCCCUGCACUCUUCAGGUAAGUGAGCUCAUAGGCACGAUGUGCCCUGAGGAGCCGCUUGGAGCCCCUCACGACUCCCACAGUGGGAUUCCUGCUGGUUUGCUCUGCGCCAGGUCCAGUCCCUGCGCGGCUUUGAGCCCCAUGACCCUGGGGAGAGCUGCAGGGCUGUCACUGCCCACGGAGGGACCCCGAGUGUCCUGUCCAACGCCACAGCGUUUGGUGCCAGCACUGGAAAGGUCUCUGGAAUAUCCGGACAUUCAGGACAGGUGCCAGGCGAGGACGGCUUCACAGGAGCACUCAUCCUGGCCAAGGCUGGGAGGAGAGCCACAGCCAUCAGAGAGAACUGGGUUACAGCAGACAUUACAUCCUCGGGGGCUCGCCUGCCUUGUGCGAGUGUGGUGCCAAUGCCCCUGCAGUGCCACAGGGCUGGCUGUGGCUUCCUUCAGCUGGAUGCUCAAGAGCAGAGGAUCUAUCAACUGCAGACCAAGCGGAGGGAGAGGCAGGCAGACCUGGAGCAGAAAUGAAGCCAGAGAAGCAGCUCAGCCAGGACCUGGGGGCCAGCCACCAGCUACGGAAAGGAGCUUGGAGCAGGUUCCCAGGGUUAGCAGGAAGAGAUUGGGCUGCCUGACCUCCAGUACCCACAGUCAUGAAAAUUUCCCCUCACUCUGAAAUCAGUAACUUCUCUGACUAAGAUAGCUUCAGACAAGCAUUUGGCUGGACUUGAAGACAUCAAGAGAUAGACAUCCUCCUCUGGCAGUCAGUCCCUUCACAUCGCUCCUACUGUUCUGGGUUUUUUUUUCUUCUCAUGAUUGCUAUGCCAAUAGAGCUAAUGAAGCUUUCCAUGCAGCAGCAAUAUGGUCUCAACUUUGUUUCCCCUGGGUUUUAUACUUUAUCUUAGAAUACUCCUUUCUUUUUGGCCAUAGACUUGGGAAGGGAAGGGAAGGGAAGGGAAGGGAAGGGAAGGGAAGGGAAGGGAAGGGAAGGGAAGGGAAGGGAAGGGAAGGGAAGGGAAGACCCUCUCUUUCUGUUUCAUAUCCCCAUUACCUCCUGCCCUUUGGAGGUUGUUCUCCCUGUGCUCCCCACCACCAGAGUCUCUUUCCAUUUACCCAGCUCCCCCUGGUUUUUGUCUCCCCUCAGCCUCCUUGCUUUUUAUUGACCUCCCACACAGUGCUGCCAUCACUGCUGGCUCAGAAGGAGGCCCCAGAGCUGCUGAUGUGUGUGUCCAUGGGCGCUAUCCCUCUUCCAGCAACUUAGUAACUGUAAUUGCAAGAACCACCAAUGCCUAGUGUCCUAUGACCAGACCUGAGCAGCACUGCUUUCGCUUCCUUUGUUCCUUCCAUUUUCCAUCAGAAUUUCUACUUUCUGAUGACUUACAUUUCUUGGUUCCUUAGAGGAACACAUGACAGCUCCUUCAGGGUUUGUGUAUGUCCUUAACCCACAGAUUCAAAAACCUGAGAUGCAGUUGGCAGAAGCAGCAGGGGAAAUGGUGCCGUGAUGGUAUGAAUACACACUAGCAGCAGCAGUGGGUGGAAGGCAGCUCCAGGGACUGCUGCACACCUGCGGGGCCACUCCUGUGCCCAUCUGUGCCUUCUUCUUGACCCUGGGGGGAAGUGUUUAAACACCACCAGCCCUGGGUGGCCUGCUCUGGCUGACACUGCCGGGGCAGGACAAGGGGAUGAGCCAGGUGACCCGGUGUUUGACCAGUGGGAAUGUCAGAGGUUGGCUCCUGGGUGACUGGGCAGGGUGGGCCUCCUCAUGUACCAACACUCCCCACUAUGAGCUUUCAUGGGAACAUGUGGUAGCUAGAGGAAUAAAGCAGAGGCAAAACGCUGAUGUGCA